CCUACGGGAGGCAGCAGUGGGGAAUAUUGCACAAUGGGCGCAAGCCUGGUGCAGCCAUGCCGCGUGUGUGAAGAAGGCCUUCGGGUUGUAAAGCACUUUCAGUCAGGAGGAAAGGUUAGUAGUUAAUACCUGCUAGCUGUGACGUUACUGACAGAAGAAGCACCGGCUAACUCCGUGCCAGCAGCCGCGGUAAUACGGAGGGUGCGAGCGUUAAUCGGAAUUACUGGGCGUAAAGCGUACGCAGGCGGUUUGUUAAGCGAGAUGUGAAAGCCCCGGGCUCAACCUGGGAACUGCAUUUCGAACUGGCAAACUAGAGUGUGAUAGAGGGUGGUAGAAUUUCAGGUGUAGCGGUGAAAUGCGUAGAGAUCUGAAGGAAUACCGAUGGCGAAGGCAGCCACCUGGGUCAACACUGACGCUCAUGUACGAAAGCGUGGGGAGCAAACGGGAUUAGAUACCCCGGUAGUCCACGCCGUAAACGAUGUCUACUAGAAGCUCGGAGCCUCGGUUCUGUUUUUCAAAGCUAACGCAUUAAGUAGACCGCCUGGGGAGUACGGGCCGCAAGGUUAAAACUCAAAGGAAUUGACGGGG
rnacentral:rRNA from 1 species